CAGCAGCCACGGGAAUACGUAGGGUGCAAGCGUUAAUCGGAAUUACUGGGCGUAAAGCGUGCGCAGGCGGUUAUAUAAGACAGAUGUGAAAUCCCCGGGCUCAACCUGGGAACUGCAUUUGUGACUGUAUAGCUAGAGUACGGCAGAGGGGGAUGGAAUUCCGCGUGUAGCAGUGAAAUGCGUAGAUAUGCGGAGGAACACCGAUGGCGAAGGCAAUCCCCUGGGCCUGUACUGACGCUCAUGCACGAAAUCGUGGGGAGCAAACAGGAUUAGAUACCCGAGUAGUCCCUGUCUCUUAUAA
rnacentral:rRNA from 1 species